GCAAUUAUACAGCGAAACUGCGAAUGGCUCAUUAAAUCAGUUAUCGUUUAUUUGAUAGUACCUUACUACAUGGAUAACCGUGGUAAUUCUAGAGCUAAUACAUGCUUAAAAUCCCGACUUCGGAAGGGAUGUAUUUAUUAGAUUAAAAACCAAUGCCCUUCGGGGCUCACUGGUGAUUCAUAAUAACUUCUCGAAUCGCACGGCCUUGCGCCGGCGAUGGUUCAUUCAAAUUUCUGCCCUAUCAACUUUCGACGGCUGGGUCUUGGCCAGCCGUGGUGACAACGGGUAACGGGGAAU
rnacentral:rRNA from 1 species